GUGUACAGUUCUCUGGUCUUCCUAAAGACAAGGCAUUUGAGUUGAAAAACAAUAAAGGUGUUGAGACAGUUGAAUUAGAAGCAUCAAAUAUUUAUCAUGUACAUAUCCAACAGUUUGAAGCAUCCAAGAUCAACCUGGUGCCCUGUAAAAAUCUGUAGUUAUUAAAGCUAGGAAAACUGCACAUAACAGACAGCUGCUUCAAUUACCAUAUUUCUCAACUUCCGCUCAUUGAGUACUUGUCCGUAUAUUGGUGUGAUAAGUUGGAAAGUAUUAAGAUUUCAAGUCAUCGUCUUAAGACAUUACACUUAUUGAAAUGCAACAAGCUGGUUGAAGUCGAGAUUAACACUCCUAAGUUAUGUAAACUUGCAUAUCUUGGUGGUAAUACAAUAUCCUUUUCAGUGACUGCUUUGGCUUAUUUGUCAAAAGCUACCUACCAGAUGUUGCACUCCAAUGCUCCUUGGCAUAUUAAAAAGAUUGAAUUGCUUGCAAAUUUGAGUAAUUCCAAAUUAUUGAAGUUGCUAAAUAUUAAAUCCGCUGAGGAUAUGGUUAUACCAAAGGAAUUGAGAGACAUAGUAUCAAUGUAUCAUCCCCAUCAUAUAAAGUCAAGCAGUUGAAGGUAGAGAUAUCGAAGUCAUUUACUACACAUGAAUUCAUUGAACUUGUGGAUAGCUUGCUCUGGAUUUCUCCUCUUCUAGAGCUUUUGUUAAUAAAAUAUGGGAAAUGGAUAGAUGAAGAUAAGUGUUACGAGACCAUAUCUUUCAAGUUCUCCUAUGAAAAGCCCAUUCUUGGAGGGGAGAAUUCUAGUUGUUGCAAAUUCCUACCAGUUCCUAGUUGGAGGCAUUGCUUAAAGAGCGUCACGAUAGAGAACUUUAGAGCAUUCACAAAUGUAGAGACUCUAAAGGCAGAUGAAGAAUUUCUAGAGAAGUACUUUUAUGAGAACGCAAAGUUCUUGGAGAGCUUCCAAUUCAUUCCUAGGGCUGUUGCUUAAACAAAAAAUUAUAAGUAUCCUUUUAGAGAAUGUAGGAAUUUUAAGUUGAAUGAUUGAGAGAAUGGAGACUAAUAUGAUGUCCACUUCUAUCAUCUGUAAACAUCAUCUUUGUCUAUGCCUAGAGUGCUUGGCCUGAUCACUUGAGGAUUACUUUUAAGUCGUGAUGUAAGACAAACUAUACAGUUUAAUUUAUUGUUUGAUUUUGAUAUU